rnacentral:rRNA from 1 species
AGUUCGAUCAUGGCUCAGAUUGAACGCUGGCGGGAUGCUACGCAUGCAAGUCGAACGGCAGCACGGACUUCGGUCUGAGGUGGCGAGUGGCGAACAGGGUGAGUAAUGUAUCGGAACGUGCCUAGUAGCGGGGAUAACUACGCGAAAGCGUAGCUAAUACCGCAUACGCCCUUCGAGGAAAGCGGGGGGACCUUCGGGCCUCACUAUUAGAGCAGCCGAUAUCGGAUUAGCUAGUUGGUGGGGUAACGGCUCACCAAGGCGACGAUCCGUAGCUGGUUGAGAGGACGACCAGCCACACUGGGACUGAGACACGGCCCAGACUCCUACGGGAGGGCAGCAGUGGGGGAAUUUUGGACAAUGGGGGAAACCCUGAUCCAGCCAUCCCGCGUGUGCGAUGAAGGCCUUCGGGUUGUAAAGCACUUUUGUGCGGAAAGAAACGGCACGUCAAUACCCCGUGCAACUGACGGUACCUGCAGAAUAAGCACCGGCUAACUACGUGCCAGCAGCCGCCGGUAAUACGUAGGAGUGCAAAGCGUUAAUCGGAAUUACUGGGCGUAAAGCGUGCGCAGGCGGUUCAGAAGAAGAUGUGAAAUCCCAGAGGCUGCUGGAACCUGCGUUUUAACUACCGAGCUAGAGUGUGUCGGAGGAGGUAAAAUUCACGUGUGCUUAAGUGCGUUACGUAGAUAUGGAGGAACACCGAUGGCGAAGGCAGCCUCCUGGGAUAACACUGACGCUCAUGCGCAGCGUGGGAGCGAAACAGGAUUGAAUACCCUGGUAGUCCGCCCUAAACAGUAUCCAACUAGCUGUUGGGGCCUUCGGGCCUUGGUAGCGCAGCUAACGCGUGAAGUUGACCACCUGGGAGAUACGGUCGCCAAGAUUAAAACUCAAGGAAUUGGCAGGACCCGCACAAGCGGUGGAUGAUGUCGGAUUAAUUCGAUGCAGCGCGAAAAACCUUACCACCCUUGACAUGUCUCGGAAUCCCGAAGAUUUGGGAGUGCUCUCAAAGAAAACAGACACCGGAGUGCUGCAUGGCUGUCAGUCGCUCGUCGUGAGAUGUUGGGUUGAUCCCGCAGCGAGCGCAACCCUUGUCAUUAGUUGCUGAAAAGGCACUCUGUGGGCUGCCGGUGACAAACCGGAGGAAGGUGGGGAUGACGUCAAGUCCUCAUAGCCCUUAUGGGUAGGGCUUCCCGCGUCAUACAAUGGUCGGGACAGAGGGUCGCCAACCCCGCGAGGAGCCAAUCCCAGAAGCCCGAGUCGUAGUCCGGAUCGCAGUCUGCAACUCGACUGCGUGAAGUCGGAAUCGCUAGUAAUCGCGGAUCAGCAUGUCGCGGUGAAUACGUUCCCGGGUCUUGUACACUACCGUCGCACCAUGGGGUGGGUUUUACCAGUAAUUAAGCCUAAUCUUGGGAAGGCGUUCUGCGGUGGGAUUCAUGACUGGGGUGAAGUCGUAACAAGGAG